CGCUGCUGGACAGGAGCCAUGCGACACUCACACCAGGGGGGAAGCCAGCACCCACCCACCCUGAGACUCCCACAGUCACAGCCGCCAGAAGCAGACUGAGCCCGUGGGCCAGGGAGGCGCACCAGGCCGGCAGCAGGAGUGCUGGACCUGAAGGACAUGAUGGGCCUUGAAUUCUUGCUUGCCUCGCUGGAGGCAGUGGCACCCAAGCCCAUGCUCAUCUGGGCAGGCAGUUUCUUGAGCCUCUAGGGCCAUGAGUGUCCCACCAGAAGACCCUACGCCAAACCAAAGUGGGAGUGGUGCUGGGAGCCAGUGCACCAAGAGCUGCUCCAGGCGCCGAGGCCAGGUGUCCGCCUGUGUCCCCCUCCUGCUGGCUUUCUGCUGAUAAACCCAUCAUUCACAGCCUGACCAGCCAGCCCUCGUCCUAGACCUCCAGCUCCCCCUACAGUGGCACACAGCCUCUCAGGGUGCAACAGGCCCCUUUCAACCCUGCAAACUAUGAUUGGGUCCCAACCAUCCAGCGAGCACGUCCACAAUCUAGAGGCCAAUGUGUCUGUCUCACACAGUUUGACGGCCUAAAAUUAACUUUUGGGCAAGAAAACAUAAAAGCCUUUCAAAUCCCAAAAGUAUGUAAGGCUCCCUGGGGCCAGAGAUCUGCUGGCUUCUCUAGGUACACCCUGGUGAGCCCACCACAAGAACGGCCUGGCCAGGGGCCGCACUGCACUGAAUGCUCCGUUUGGCUGUCUCCCAGAGGAUAAAAAGCACUCUCAGCUCCUUGAGAGGCGUGUCUCAGCCAGGCGCAGUGGCUCACACCUAUAAUCCCAGUACUUCAGGAGACUGAGGCAGGAACAUCACUUGAGCUCAGCAGUUGGGAGACCCUACCUCUACAAAAAAAAUGACCCAGCCUCAAGUCGGCCAGGCACAAUGGCUCACGCUGAUAAUCCCAGCACUUUGGGAGGCCAAGGUGGGUGGAUCAUGAGGUCAGGAGUUCAAGACCAGCUCAGCCAACAUGGUGAAACCCCAUCUCUACUAAAAACAAAAUUAGCCAGGCAGGCAUGGUGGCGGGUGCCUGUAAUCCCAGCUGCUCAGGAGACUGAGGUAGAGAACUGCUUGAGCCUGGAAGGCAGAGGUUGUAGUGAGCCGUGAUCACACCACUGCACUCCAACCUGGGCAACACAGUGAGACCCUGUCUAAAAUAAAGACCCAAGCUAAACACAAA